AGGCCCCCACCCUACUUAAUUCCAUAAGUGCCUUUCUACAAAAACAAUAUUUUUAAUAGAAGUUUAUUAUAAAUGGCAGUACACAACAAAAAGAAGAAAGAAAUAGGAGUAAUGAAUCAACCUUCGAUUGGCCAUCGUGAGAUGGAGUGCUGUUAUGUAAUCUCUCCUUUUGCCUCCCCUGUUCUAUCAUUCAGUCCCCUAUCUGUGGGGAUAGAGACACCAGGUUGUUGUUGUGUAGUCUAGGGAAUAGCUGCGAGGCUUGGUACCAAAGGAAGCUAGGAUUGGUCUCGCAUGAAUUUAUUACUGGUGAGAACAGCAAGAGUUUCUUCAUAGAUAAGCAGAACUUUUAUUAACAAAAAACAUUAGGAACAACUUAGCAUGGAGAAGAGAAAGAGGUUGUCUGCGUGUAGCGAGUGAAGGGGGUGGGAGUCAAGAUUAAGGAAGGAGGUGAGGAGCUAAUUGUUAUGGGUUUGGUAGGGAGAAUGUCGGUAGAUUUGAUAUGAUGCGGGUUUGCUGGAAAUGUUUAAGGAGAAGAAAAAUAGUUAUUUGAGGAGGCUUUCUUUAGGCGGGUAUGACG
rnacentral:misc_RNA from 1 species